rnacentral:lncRNA from 1 species
AUACAUUUCAUUUAAAAUAUGUAAAGAGGCUUAUGAAUCUCAUAACAACUAGGCUUGUGCCAUAAAUCCAUUUUCGGGGACACCUUGGCCUAGGCAUCUACCGAGACCGCCAAGGCUAUUAAAAUUCACAUUUCGCAUAAAUCAUGUUUUUGUUUUGAAAACAUAGCCAUUCCUUGGCGUUGGCUGAGUUCCCCCUCACGUGGUGGUUUGGAGUGAAGUGAACCCUAAGCUUUACCCCAGGAGAUACCUUACGCGCCU